AGGCCUCUCGUCAUUGGCCCACUUCUUCUGAGGCGUCUUCUGCAGCCAGGCCUGCAUUUCUGGAAAGGCCACUGCAGCCGAGAACUGAGUUAUGAAGCUGCUCCUUCGGCUGCAGAAGAGGUGGACCAGCUGGGCACAGCUGUCGGUACAGGUGUCUAGGUCUUAAGGAUGGAAGAGUUUUAGACUCAUGAUGAGAACUUACACAAACUAAUGUGAAUAAGGGAAAAUUCAAGAGCACACCAAACUAUGGUAUGCAGCACAAUCCUAUGCAUGUCUGCUCAGAAGUAAGUCCCACUAUGUUAUAUGGUGUUUACUCACAGGGGUCCCCAACCCCCAGUCCAUGGACUGGCACCAGAUCGUGGCGUGCCAGAAACCAGGAUGCACAAACAUCCGCCGGAAGCAGGCAACACAUGAAACCAUGCCCGUUCCGGCCCGUGGAAAAACCUCUCUCCAUGGAACUGGUCCCUGGUGCCCAAAAAGUUGGGGGCCACUGGUGUAAAUUAUUGUGCUACAAUAGUAUUUAUGUAUAACUUUUCCUCUUCACCAGAUAUUUUGAGCUGACCUGAAGCAAAUGUAAAAUGGGGUAAUCAACAGUUAAAAUAAUUGAAAGCAAAUGUCACUUUAAUCUUUUUCUCCUAGUUGUGGUGCUUCUCAUUAAUCAGGUGUGCAUAUAUGAUACUUUUGUAUGUAGAGAAGGGUUUCAUUUUAAGGUCACCCAUUCCAUUCUGGAGAACAUAAUUAAUGCAUUUUAUACAGUUUUAUGGUUGCCUAUAAUACCAAAUAGGAAAAGGAGGGAGAAGAUCCACUUUUCUUUAACAGAGGAAUAAAUGUGCAACAGCUGGGCCUACUUUAACUUAAUUAAAGGCACUAAAGAAAGGGUACACAUAAGAAUGACUCUAGAUAAAAGAGCAGAAGUGGCCUAGAAUCUGUUUCAUUGAAAACGGUUUUGGAAGCCUAAGUUCAGUUCCUUGGAGCCCCCUACUCCACCCCGAUUUCUGAGUUUAAAGUUUACUUUGCGGUUUGUUUUCAGUGGGGUCAGCAUUGUAGUGAAUAAUUUAUAGGCAGGAUGAAUGAGCUCAUUAGUCACCUUUUCAGAGUUUAAAUGAGUUUGGUGCUUGUCAUUACAUGGGCCUUCUGUUCAGCCACAUGGCAAAAUGACAGUUUGGCAGUUAGCUUGUUUGUAGUAGAGUAGACUGUCUCAUUUUAGAGCUGCCUUUGCUUUCAGCCCCCUCUCCCUCCCGUUUGUCUCAUCCAAUGCUGAUCCAGUAACUCUCAAGCUUCUCAUGGUUUUUUUAAGCAAAGAGUUGAUACCUAUUGCUGACAUUAUAGAGAUCCUGAGACCUCUUUUCCACCAUGAGACUCUUCUAUUCUCUUUCUACAUUAUCUGCCAUUUUCAUUUAUUUAGCAGGAAAAGGAACCAAGGAAUAUAGGAAAAGCAAACUCCUGAUGUUUCUUAAUAUGGGUAAAAAAAUUAUUCUGGCACAAAAUGGAGACCUCAGAAAGCUCAGAUCCACUUAAAUGUCUGCAAAAAACAUAAAAGUAUUUAUUACAUUUACAGUAUAUAGCUUCCCUUCUCACAAAAAAUGUGUCUGGGUGGUGUGCAACAAUCAAUAAAAUAACAAGUAAAAUGUUUAAAAAUAAAUAUUAAAAAUGAAAAAAAACUAUAAAAAAUUUAAAAUAUACAAAUCACACAGAGAGAGUAGGAUCAACUAUGAAAGAGCCAUAUAAAAAUAUCUCCAGUUUCCUGAAACUCCCAGGCCUGGUGACAUAACCAGGUUUUCAGGGACUUCCAAAAUGAUAGUAGGGAUGGAGCUAGCCUGAAUUGGGAGUGAUAGGAAGAGUGUUUCAUGGGCAGGGGCCAUGUCAGAGAAGGCCCACCUCCGGGAACCCAUCAAAUGUUGGUGCCUGCCAGAUGGACCUGCAAUAUGUCUUUUCUGCCAGAUCUAAUGGAAUAGGCAGAUAUAACUGGGGAGAGGGGUCCCUUAGAUAAGUUGCACCCAUACCAUGAAGUUCUUAAAAGGUUAAAACCAUCAGCUUGAAUUGGACCAGAAAACAAACUGACAGUCAAUGCAGCUCACCCAGCAGAGGUGUAACAUGUGUGCUUCUAGGAGCACACCUAAUACCUGCGCUGCUGUAUUCUGUGCCAGCUGAAACUUCUGGGUACUCUUUAAGAGCAGCCCCAUAUAAAGCACAUUAUGUUAGUCUAGAAACACUUUAGAAAAAAAUCUUCAUGCGGCUGACCUUAAUUCUUCCCAAUAUAGUCAACUGUACUGGAGAUUAAUGUAUUUUUGGAGCAUGGAAAAUGAGUUAACUUUUAAAUGGGUUCAAAACAUCUGAGAGAAUCGGUAAAAUCUCAUAAAAAAGGAUAGUGUUUGCUGAUUAGGAUCCUGAACAAAGCCAUUUCCAACCAUUAUAUUCUAUGAAUCUCUAAUAAUUCUCAAGAAGGUGUACUAUAUGGUAGCUAACAGUUGGUAUCAACUAGAUGGCAUACAAUAAAAAUUAUACUUUAUAACAGACCAUAGAAGACAGACCAUUACAGAACAAGAGAAUGUUAACCUAUGUCCACCAUUAAGUGAACAUAAUCUGUACAAUGGCUUUUCCUGAUUGCUAUGGGUGCAACCAUUCCACCUAGAAGAUUUCUCCAAGCUGGCAACAAAUACUGAGAGUGCGUGGACGAUAUUAAAAGUAGAAAAGUUUUUAUUCAGUAGUAUGACCCCACUGAAUCAGCGCCAGAAUGUGUACUUAACAUCUUAUAGCCAUUGUUGUGUUUUGUGGAUGAAUUCAAUAUUCCAUUGCUCAAACUCUGUUCCUAACCACAGUGAUGCCAAAAUGAUGAAAUGCGACAUCAGGAUGAAAGCUCUGCCUUUCUGUAGUUCUGUUGUGACGUUGUCAUUGCAUGUCUCAUCCUGCUCCUGUGGACAUCUAUGUCAAAGAAUUACAACUUAAAAAUUGAAACUGUAGAAAAUAUAAGAAAAUGAUAUCUUGCUUUUAUUAUGGAUGAAUACAUACACACAGACAGAAAUACACAGGCAUACACAGACACGCGUGCAAUGUAUAACUGAACAAAGGCUUCCAUUAGAAUUGAGUAUACAUUAAGUAUAAGCUGAUUAGGAAAAGAUGUUACAAACAUUUUUGAUUUGGAGUAAAGUCCUUUUUAGAUUUAAAUUCAGUUCACUUUUUUCUCUAUCUUCCUCAAGUUUCAACUAUACUGAAGACAGAUUUUUUUUGCUAGUAAUUGUACUCCUAGUUAAUAAGAAUUAACGUAAACAACUUCAGUGGAGAGAAUAACUUAAGAAACACAUGUAUGCAUUUAUUUAUUUAACUAGGCUUAUAUGCCAUUCCAAUCGUCAAUCAAUCCUUAGAGGUUUACAGUCUUGCCAUAUGGAAACAAGAUUAGAUAUGGUAACCAAAAUAUCCAACAAUAAACAAUUACAUACUAGAAGAUUCCUGUGCCAAGAAAUCAUGCUCAUAUAGUUGCAUAUCCUAUAUAGGAGGAAUGUCUCUUAAGUCAUUGCUUUUUCAAAGCCCUGCUGAAUUAAUUUUUAGUUGCUUUCAAAUUUCAGUAAUGUUGGGGCAAGCCCCUCUGUGAGGGAGAUGGGUUGUUCUUAAAUAUGACAAACAAACAAAUAAAAUUGAAUACUCCAAGGGAAUAAAAACUUAAGAAAUGCCCUGCUGGAUUAGAUCCAAGGACAUCUAGUCUAGAAUCAGUUUUCACAGUGCCCAACAACUGCACAAAAAACCCCACAAGUCUCCCAGCAGAUGGCCUUCAGAGGCAGGCGUACUAAUAUCAUUAAUCCCCACAGUCCUCAUGACUUGUAUAAUUCGGUCCAACCUUUUUUUGAAACUAACCAGGCUGGAAGCCAACACUAUUUCUCCUGCAUCUAAGCCAGAUCACAAAGCUGUUUCAGAGAGGGAAGCAGCAAUAGAAAAUGAUACUUCUCCAUAGAAGAAUUCUGUACAUCACAGUCUGGUUUGGAGGCUUCAGACAGGAAGGCAGUGCAGAGAGUGGUGAGAAUGGCCGAAAAGAUC